rnacentral:rRNA from 1 species
AAACCAGCACCUCAAGUGGUCAGGAUGAUUAUUGGGCCUAAAGCAUCCGUAGCCGGCUCUGUAAGUUUUCGGUUAAAUCUGUACGCUCAACGUACAGGCUGCCGGAAAUACUGCAGGGCUAGGGAGUGGGAGAGGUAGACGGUACUCGGGAGGAAGGGGUAAAAUCCUUUGAUCUCUCGAUGACCACCUGUGGCGAAGGCGGUCUACCAGAACACGUCCGACGGUGAGGGAUGAAAGCUGGGGGAGCAAACCGGAUUAGAUACCCGAGUAGUCC